rnacentral:rRNA from 1 species
GAUGAACGCUAGCGGCAGGCCUAACACAUGCAAGUCGAGGGGUAGAGUUCUUCGGGACUUGAGACCGGCGCACGGGUGCGUAACGCGUAUGCAAUCUACCUUAUACAGGGGAAUAGCCCCAGAGAAAUUUGGAUUAAUGCCCCAUAGUGUUAUCGAAUCGCAUGGUUUGAUAACUAAAGUUCCAACGGUAUAAGAUGAGCAUGCGUCCCAUUAGUUAGUUGGUAAGGUAACGGCUUACCAAGACAAUGAUGGGUAGGGGUCCUGAGAGGGGAGAUCCCCCCANACUGGUACUGAGACACGGACCAGACUCCUACGGGAGGCAGCAGUGAGGAAUAUUGGUCAAUGGGCGCAAGCCUGAACCAGCCAUGCCGCGUGCAGGAAGACGGUCCUAUGGAUUGGUAAACUGC